rnacentral:rRNA from 1 species
GGUAAGUUCCGACCUGCACGAAUGGCGUAAUGAUGGCCAGGCUGUCUCCACCCGAGACUCAGUGAAAUUGAACUCGCUGUGAAGAUGCAGUGUACCCGCGGCAAGACGGAAAGACCCCGUGAACCUUUACUAUAGCUUGACACUGAACAUUGAGCCUUGAUGUGUAGGAUAGGUGGGAGGCUUUGAAGUGUGGACGCCAGUCUGCAUGGAGCCGACCUUGAAAUACCACCCUUUAAUGUUUGAUGUUCUAACGUGGACCCGUAAUCCGGGUUGCGGACAGUGUCUGGUGGGUAGUUUGACUGGGGCGGUCUCCUCCUAAAGAGUAACGGAGGAGCACGAAGGUUGGCUAAUCCUGGUCGGACAUCAGGAGGUUAGUGCAAUGGCAUAAGCCAGCUUGACUGCGAGCGUGACGGCGCGAGCAGGUGCGAAAGCAGGUCAUAGUGAUCCGGUGGUUCUGAAUGGAAGGGCCAUCGCUCAACGGAUAAAAGGUACUCCGGGGAUAACAGGCUGAUACCGCCCAAGAGUUCAUAUCGACGGCGGUGUUUGGCACCUCGAUGUCGGCUCAUCACAUCCUGGGGCUGAAGUAGGUCCCAAGGGUAUGGCUGUUCGCCAUUUAAAGUGGUACGCGAGCUGGGUUUAGAACGUCGUGAGACAGUUCGGUCCCUA